UUUGAAUAUUAUAAAAGGUACCGCCUGCCCAGUGACUAUGUGUUCAACGGCCGCGGUAUACUGACCGUGCAAAGGUAGCGUAAUCAUUUGUCUUUUAAUUGAAGACUAGUAUGAAUGGCAUCACGAGGACUAAUCUGUCUCCCUCCCCCAAUCAGUGAAACUGAUCUCCCCGUGCAGAAGCGGGGAUAAUAUCAUAAGACGAGAAGACCCUGUGGAGCUUCAAAUCAAUAAUCAACUGCUUCACCCACCCCAAAUAAAGGAUACACUCAAGCAAACUUGAUUUAGAUUUUCAGCUGGGGCGUCUAUGGAGAAAAAAAAAUCCUCCAUGAAAAUUCAUGCUAAAAGCUACCACCAUAGGCAUUAAUAUACUUAACUUUAAUUGACCCAAUUUUUGAUCAACGAACCA
rnacentral:rRNA from 1 species